rnacentral:lncRNA from 1 species
GACAGCUUGCUCUCUAAAGUCUUUCUCCAUCAUUUCUGCUUCUCAAAUUUUUGUAGUUGUCCAUUACUAUGGGCUUUCAGUACAUUCUCCACUUACCUCAGAUUAUUUCACUCCCAUAACAUCUGUGCUUGUUUUACUUAUAUUACUGGCCCAGACCCUGAAGACAUUAACUCUGUAACCUCUGUUCUAACCUUUGGAAUUUACCACCCGUUGGCUCCACUUCUCUCUUCAUACAUUUAUCAGAGUCCAGAGAGAGCCACAUGUCCAUACUGGGCUUCCUAGCUUUGGGUGGAGGACGAAACAGAAGCUCUUUGAAGAUAACUUCCUUCCUGAGUUUUUGAUAUCCAGAAACCUAAGCUCAAGAGGGUAUUAUGUUUUGGAGAAUUGAACCAGUAAUUAAAGAAAGAGAUAAAAGAUGGAGAUCAAGGAAGAGGAAAAACAAAGAUCAAGAUCCAGGCAUGGACAGGAUACAUGAUCUCCACACACAGAUUUUCCAGGAUGGUCCCAAGAGCGAAUAAGUUGGUUUGGGAAGUGUGGUCACAGUGGCCUUGCGCCAUACUGUCAAAAGGCACGGGUCCUCCUCUCAGGAAGCCUGUGCUUUAGUGAGUGAAGCUGCUUUGUUUUAUGACUUGGUGCUUUCACAGCCAAUGCACGUGGCCACCACAGAGCUCCUCUUGGUCUCAUGUCUGGUGGGAGGGAGAGUGCGCUGCAGAACCACUUGGGAGAAGUGGAGCAUCCUUACUCUCAGUUCCAAACUCUGCUCGGCGCAGACGGGGUUCCGGACCAAAAUCCGCAUUUGUCCUUGACUGGGUAGCUGUGAACUGAGCAACCACAAAGUCGGUGGGGGCAAGUGGAGGAAGAGAAGUUCCAAAGAGACAACAGAAGAACUUGCAGGGGUGAGGCAGGAGAAAAGAUGAGCAGAGGAGAAAAGAUAGCCUUGCAGAGACAGACCGAGCUGUGCUGACCUCUAACUCCUGUGUGCGUCAUCCUGGGAGUGUUGGCAAAGGGUGCCAGAAUCCAAUAAAAGAGUUGGAGAACUCAUUCAUUAUCCCACUUGGAACACUGAGAGGUCCCCUCCAAGCCCAGCACCCCCAUGCGGGCACAUGCAGUCCGACCAGAGUCAGUGUUGCAAGAUAACUGACACUUUGAAUCACUGCGAACGCUCUACCUUUAUUGAGGAAUUGGACCAUCUUUGAAGCCACUGCUUUGCUUAUUGUGAUAAUGCGUGGUUAAGUAAAUCGAUAGGGCAGGCUUUCCCCACAUUGCCAAGAGGUGGAAACAGGAUCAGAGGCAUUUGUGGACUUUCCUCAGGCACUGAGUAAGUCCUUGGCUGGAACAGGGACCAAAAGCCCCUUUGCUGGUAUUGUGGCAGGAACCAGGGCUAAUGCCCAUUAAGGCCUCAUCUGCGAGGGAGGUCGGCUGAUGGACCAGAUGUGCCUCCCAGAUGUUCCUCCUAGGCUCAGCCUGUGUGGCAUGAGGGCCUAACCAAGGGGAUUUUUAAUCCCGGGGAAAAUGGUUGUCAUCCAGGGCUGGCUCAAAAACUGGCAAAGUCUGCUGUGAGUGAAACCAAGAAGUAGGGCCAAAAAGCAAAGAGAGGUUUCCAUGAGAUCCUGGGCAGCGGCCGUGGGGCGAGGUGGGGCUGCGGCCCGGAGUGAGGGCGGGCAGGGCCUGUCCACUCGUGUGGAGGCUGCCAGCAUGCUGGUCUGGGGCGUCCUUGCUGUGCUGUGGCUGACUGCAGUUCCUUCUCCUCUCUGGGUCUGUUUUCUCCUCCAUCGGCCUCCCUGCUCCAGAACUGGGAGGGAGAUAGAUCCAAGUACGUGAGGAGAAUAUCUGGCCAACAGUCAAAUUCAUGGCGGAGGCCAUGACUGUUACUGAGGGAGGUGAGUUUAGGAGGUGGCUGUCGGAAUGUCUGGAGGGCCCAGAGGAAACCCUGGAGCCCUGGGUGUGUUUAAACGUGUCUAUCAUUCUAGGCUCAGAGGAGUCUGCUCCUGCAGAACCUCAGUGGAGCGGAGGGGUUUUCUGCGGUUGAGGCAGGGAGGGCCCUGUAGCCCCAUCCCCUUCUGCCUCUCCAUCACCUCUCUCAGUGGUUUCUAAGGCAAGAUGCAGGAUCCUGGGGCUUCCAUGGAACACAGUUUAGAAAUCCCUGGGGAAGCCUAAUUAAUUCCACAAGUUAUCAGGCAAACUGGGGAACCUGUGCCUCAUAUGGGCUCUUGGGUGGCUCCAACUGCUCCCUCAGGAGUCUGGCCAAGAGCAGGGGGUUGGGAGGCCUGUUCAUUUGCCAAGCCAGGCCUGCUGCUCCACAGCCCAGGGGUCGGCCCUGCUGCUAGAAGGACGGAGGUGGGAGCUCCUACCAGGGCAGGUGCCACCAGUGACUGAGGAAUCCAUUUCCCUUGGGGGCCAGAGGGGUGAAGGGUUGACAGUGCAAAGAAGCAGGAGCUAAGCCAAGAAGAGCAGCCACUU